rnacentral:lncRNA from 1 species
GGUCCGUCUGGCUCUUACUCUGAGAGACGUUCGGGCCCGCGAGGCUCUGGACUCACGUUUGAAUUUGUGGCGCGUAGUGUCCGAGGUGCGGAGUGGAGCUGGGCGUCUUGCUGGAGUCAGCAACUGGGCGGUGAGAGACCCUGAGCGGAGAAUGACCAGAGGGUCGGCCGGCGCUGGAGGGGCCCCGAGUCCAACAGGCCUCCUCGGAAUGCGGCACUUCCACCGCGCUGCUUCCCUCGCCUGAGGCAGGUCCUCUGCUCGCCUCCUCGCAGCCUCUAGAUUCUUCCCUCGCGCCGUUUUCCUCGCGUCUGAGAGACUGUGCGCCCGCCCGCUUCUGUCACCCCCGAAGGAAGGCUGCUCCUAACGCUACCUUCCGGGGUCUCUCCGCUUCCAUCCCUCCCCAGAAGCAGCCCUCCAGCGCUGACGUGUUUACGUCUCCCCCCACUAUCCUGCGCCCCCCCAUCUCUGUCAUAAUUACAGCCUCCUUCCAUCACCAACACUCUCAGAAACUUUCUCCCUGCCUCUGACUGUGGAAAAAUGUCUCCUGAGCAACCUGGUGAGCGUCCCACACCUCAGAGUCCAGAACGUUCCUCAUCAAGAAAGAGGGUGCUGCGGUCCUCCCCUUCCCGCCUGGGACGUAGCGAGGGCACGUGGAAAGCAGCGCGUGAAAGCGCUUUGCAAAGCGGAGGUAUUGUCUCCAUUUUACAAAUGAGGAACCUGAAGCUCAGAGAGAAUUAAGAAGCAAUAUCCUGAGAUACAUCUUUCUCUGAUAGAAAUUUUGUCUUGGGAAAAGCUUUGACCAGAUCGUAGUGACAGAAAUGAGAGGCUGGGCCAGUCUUUGGCGCCUGCCCUUGGCUCAGCGCCCGGUGCCAACAGAACACCUUUCAGGAUCCACAGCAACGCAGACAACGAGUCCAGGAUCCCGGCCUCUGCUUGGAACGGAACAGUGUCAUGGCGGAGACGACGGCCUUUGUCUUGCUGGGUGUGAAAGCAUCCGCUUUGCAGGCUCCACUGCGGCAGAAUCAAGUUUAAAGGAAAAAGUGAUUAAAGUCAGCUUUGUGCCUCUUUGGUGUGGAAGACCCCCAAACCCCAAGUAGCCGAGUCCCUGGGUCCGAGGAAGGGCUCAUAGUUGGAGCAGCCUAGGCUGUAAUCCUGGCACUUGCGCCUUCGGUUGCUGCUUGCUGUUCGCUCCUGGGGGUCUGGAUAAUCUCCCUUGGCUUUACCGCACUGUCUGGCCCGCAUACAGGGCCCCCGUAACAUAUACCCGCUGCUGCUAUCGCACGAAACUGUGGCGUUGCCCCUGAAUGGAUGGCACUGUGCCAACUCUUCUGCCAUCCGCCCUUGCAGCUUUUUUCUUUCCUGCCUCCCUCCCCUUCUUCUCCUCCUCCUCCCGUCGACUUGACGUUAAUUAACACACGGGUUAAUUGAUUUUAAAAGCCGAAGAAUUACAGUUAACUUUUCCCACAG